UACGACACACGUCAUUCAUCAGGUUUGACUUGCAUUUGCGAGUCAUUUUUGUGUUGUCGUUUAUCUCUUUAUGUAAAUGGACUUGUUACUGGAAAAGAUGGCAACUUUUGAAUUUUAUAACGUCUUGAAAGAUGUGUCGCCUGAAAAAUUUAACUCUAGUCGAAUGAAGAGGGAGUAAAUGAAAUGCGACGUGUGUCUGUGAACUUUAUAAUGGACAUGUACAGCUUUUUGAUGCCCGGUGGUAACCAGCCUUCCAUGUGGCUGAACAGAUGCCAGUGUACCCAAAUUCUGAGACACAAUUGGAUGUUCUUUUCUUCUGCUUUUAAGAUUCCCAAUUUGAGAUGAUGUGCAGUUCAUAUUAGAUUUGCUAUUUCUACAGUUACAGUGAAGUCGAAGAGUCCGGUCGUGUUAUGGGGCAGCAGUUAAAGAAGAAGGAUAGAGAGAUGUGUGCCCUGUUGAAGUAGUGGCUGACCCUCCUGCCCGCUCUUCUAGAAUCCUCCAGCUCAAUCUCUGGUCUGAUCUGCUGUGCCUUUGCCAAGUGAUCACGAGUUUAUUGCAGCGGUGCCCCCCUGUGUCUCCACUGUCUGUUACAUCAACUCCAACUGCCUGUGACAGAAGAAAAGUUCACAAGAUGUCCUGAAAUGGAAUUGUGAUUGCAGUGAGACGGCCACAGUUAUGUAUGCUGGGAUGUGCAGAGGAGCUCUGUGUGGUCUUUGGUUUGGGAC